rnacentral:lncRNA from 1 species
CCGCUUGCCUCGCCCAGCGCAGCCCCGGCCGCUGGGCGCACCCGUCCCGUUCGUCCCCGGACGUUGCUCUCUACCCCGGGAACGUCGAGACUGGAGCGCCCGAACUGAGCCACCUUCGCGGACCCCGAGAGCGGCGGCGCGACUCACCGCGGAGGCGCCCGGACGCGUCAAGUGUCCUACGGGCCUGAUGGAAAGGUGGCAGGCGAAAUGCACCUGGCCUCAGCGUCAGGGGCUGUGAAUGCAGUAGCACUUGUAGCUAUGAGGUCAGAGUGGACUAGGAUGGUCCUUCCACCAAGAAGCCUGGGCCUUCCUGCUCUUCGUUGUCCAGCUGCAGAAACUGAUCUCAUCCCUCAGGGCUUGGCACAACUGCCCCUUCCUCCUCACAUUCCCAAAUAUACCUACCCCUCCCCAACUCAAUCCUCCUCACCAGACUGUGGCUCCAGGAUGACAGGGCAGAGUUGGACUCACCUGUGUCUGCCAGGCCAGCUCACCGUGGGGGCAGGUCCCAAGAGGCCUCUGGAUUUGGACCAACUUCCAGUGUGACCUUGAACAAGGCCUUCGCCUCCCUCAGCCUCCGUUGCAUGAGGGGUUGUGCUGGCACAUCUCAGAGCAGGUAGCGCUACCUGGUGAGUUGAGGGCUCUGUCCAUCAUCUUUGUCACUGUAAUGCUGGGUAACAAAUAAACACGAAACAAUGAGUGCUCGUUAAAAAAAAAAAA